GCGGGACAAACCAGAGAAGCUGAUGAAACGAGAACGCGACGCGGACGGCCGGUAGAGGAAACGAGAAACCUAUCCCAAACCCAGGAUACACGUUGAGGGGUGUUGACGAUGAAGACGAUGAAGAAAGAGAGGAAACAUCCGCGCCUACGCAACCAACGGUGAAACAACGUGAGAAAGAGAUACAAGAUGGGGUGACUGACGGAGAUAACGCUCGACAAACGUGCACUGGCGAAGGACGAACCGAGGAUGGACGAACGAGGGGGCAAGAGGUGACGAACUCAGAGGGAAGAGGAUGCUUCGUGCACCACCACCACUGCUAGCACCACUGUGCCGGUACAACUACUACCAAAGCAACCCGGCCAUCGUCGCCCACUAUCACCAGGCCAGCAACACCGUGCCACACGCUUCAUGAAGGAGAGAAGGGGAACUGGUAUGACGAGAGGAAGAGAGGCUAGGAGGGAAGGUCUCUACGCCACCGCAGCAGUCCUUACCCUCGUCGAAUCUACGGGACCCAAACUCGAACGUGGCCAAACAGAAAUCUAAUCUCACUCAGCGUAUAAUUUGAUUUAUGACUCGCGGCUGUUCGGGCGGAAAGAGGUAGGAAAAAGUUGGAAUUGAGAAGCUGACCGGACCGUGAGGAAAAGCAAGGGGCCAAGCAGCUCCUUCGGAGUCAUCGAUGCAAUUUGUCCGAAUGUCUAUCGUCCACUGGGAGUAAGAGAAACGAAAAUGGGUGAGAGAGGAGAGUAAAGGGGGUCUCGGUGGUACGCAAAUUUACGUCUCGCGAGAGACGUCCUGAAACCCCUUCAGCCUUCCUCGAAUUGAAUUAACUCCGCGUCUUCCCCCGGCUCUAUUCCUGAGCUGCGCACGUGGAACAUUGGUCAUCCCUAAUUCGCUUAUGGCCCUCGAUCAAUUAAGUCGUCGGCCAUUCGCGCAAAUCCCGCUGACCCUUCCAGACGUCGUCUGCUCUUCCACGAAGACAUCGUGUUAGUCUGCCCGUCGCAGCGUACGAUUUGAUACUUUGGUUUACAACGUUCGAUUUUAAUAUUAUAUAUCGAAGGUGUUACGAAGUCUUAUACAGUUUAAGUGGGUUCUAGGAAAUUUUUUGAUCCGAUUACAGUUAAGAACCUUGUCCAUGGAAGCCA
rnacentral:misc_RNA from 1 species